UACGGGGGGAGCAAGCGUUGUUCGGAUUUACUGGGCGUAAAGGGCGCGUAGGCGGCAAAUUAAGUCAGCUGUGAAAUCUCCGAGCUUAACUCGGAACGGUCAGCUGAUACUGAUCUGCUAGAGUGCGGAAGGGGCAAUCGGAAUUCUUGGUGUAGCGGUGAAAUGCGUAGAUAUCGGGAGGAACACCAGUGGCGAAGGCGGCUUUCUGGCCUGCUCUUGACGCUGAGGCGCGAAAGCUAGGGUAGCAAACGGG
rnacentral:rRNA from 1 species